rnacentral:tRNA from 1 species
AAGAUAAAUUAUUAUUUUGAAGCUUAAUUUUUAUAUUAAAAUUUAUUUGUAGAUUAAGGCUU